CCUACGGGAGGCAGCAGUGAGGAAUAUUGGUCAAUGGCCGGAAGGCUGAACCAGCCAUGCCGCGUGAAGGUCAGUGCCCUAUGGGCGUUAAACUUCUUUUGUGCGGGAGCAAUAAUGGUCACGUGUGGCCAGACGAGAGUACCGUACGAAUAAGCAUCGGCUAACUCCGGGCCCGCAGCCGCGGUAAUACGGGGGAUGCAAGCGUUAUCCGGAUUUAUUGGGUUUAAAGGGUGCGUAGGCUGUUAGGUAAGUCAGCGGUGAAAUGCCCCCGCUCAACGGGGUGAAGUGCCAUUGAUACUGCCUUGCUGGAAUGCGGAUGCGGUGGGAGGAAUGUGUGGUGUAGCGGUGAAAUGCAUAGAUAUCACACAGAACACCGAUUGCGAAGGCAUCUCACGAAUCCGCGAUUGACGCUGAUGCACGAAAGCGUGGGUAUCAAACAGGAUUAGAGACCCCUGUAGUC
rnacentral:rRNA from 1 species